rnacentral:rRNA from 1 species
CAGUAGCCGCGGUAAUACAUAGGGUGCGAGCGUUAAUCGGAAUUACUGGGCGUAAAGCGUGCGCAGGCGGUUGUGUAAGACAGGUGUGAAAUCCCCGGGCUUAACCUGGGAACUGCGCUUGUGACUGCACAGCUAGAGUAUGGCAGAGGGGGGUGGAAUUCCACGUGUAGCAGUGAAAUGCGUAGAGAUGUGGAGGAACACCGAUGGCGAAGGCAGCCCCCUGGGCCAAUACUGACGCUCAUGCACGAAAGCGUGGGGAGCAAACAGGAUUAGAUACCCGAGUAGUCCCUGUCUCUUAUAC